AAGGAGCACUUCUCCCGGUGAGGGUUCACACAGGUGAAUGCCUCUCGGGCAGAGACUGUUUCGUUCCCACACGUGGAACGGCAGGAGCCCAUGGGUGGAACGCUGACAGGUAUUUUCUUCGUCACCGCCGGUCCGAGUGCCGGCGGGAAGAGAGUUAUAUCGGUGCACUGUUGGGUCCUGAGAGAACACGCGAGUGUUUUGUCAGCGACGAUGACCGGGAACGGGAAGGGUUCUUCUUUCCCCAGUAUCGGUUGUUGUGUGUUGUUUGAGAACUGCACAGUGGACGCGAGCAUCUUUGUU
rnacentral:misc_RNA from 1 species